AAUCCAUGGUGUGGACACUUCCUCAACAAUUCAUUGUACUUCUCUCAUGCUUCAUAUAAUGACUCAUUAUUGCUCUGCACAAAGGAGGUAAUAUCAUUUCUCAUCUU